rnacentral:rRNA from 1 species
AUACGUAGGGCGCGAGCGUUGUCCGGAUUUAUUGGGCGUAAAGAGCUCGUAGGCGGUUUGUCGCGUCUGCUGUGAAAUCCUCUGGCUUAACUGGGGGCGUGCAGUGGGUACGGGCAGACUGGAGUGCGGUAGGGGAGACUGGAAUUCCUGGUGUAGCGGUGGAAUGCGCAGAUAUCAGGAGGAACACCGGUGGCGAAGGCGGGUCUCUGGGCCGUUACUGACGCUGAGGAGCGAAAGCAUGGGGAGCGAACAGGAUUAGAUACCCUGGUAGUCCAUGCCGUAAACGUUGGGAACUAGGUGUGGGGUCCAUUCCACGGGUCCUGUGCCGUAGCUAACGCAUUAAGUUCCCCGCCUGGGGAGUACGGCCGCAAGGUUGAA